UACGUAGGGUGCGAGCGUUGUCCGGAAUUAUUGGGCGUAAAGAGCUCGUAGGCGGUGUGUCGCGUCGGUCGUGAAAACUUGGGGCUUAACCCUGAGCUUGCGGUCGAUACGGGCAUCACUGGAGUUCGGCAGGGGAGACUGGAAUUCCUGGUGUAGCGGUGAAAUGCGCAGAUAUCAGGAGGAACACCGGUGGCGAAGGCGGGUCUCUGGGCCGGUACUGACGCUGAGACGCGAAAGCGUGGGGAGCGAACAGG
rnacentral:rRNA from 1 species